CGUAAAGGCCCUUCGGGGUACACGAGCGGCGAACGGGUGAGUAACACGUGAGCAAUCUGCCCUUCACUUGGGGAUAACCACCGGAAACGGUGGCUAAUACCGAAUAUGACCACUUCCUGCAUGGGAUGGUGGUGGAAAGUUCCGGCGGUGGAGGAUGAGCUCGCGGCCUAUCAGCUUGUUGGUGGGGUAAUGGCCUACCAAGGCAACGACGGGUAGCCGGCCUGAGAGGGUGACCGGCCACACUGGGACUGAGACACGGCCCAGACUCCUACGGGAGGCAGCAGUGGGGAAUAUUGGACAAUGGGCGAAAGCCUGAUCCAGCAACGCCGCGUGAGGGAUGACGGCCUUCGGGUUGUAAACCUCUUUCAGUACCGACGAAGCGCAAGUGACGGUAGGUACAGAAGAAGCACCGGCCAACUACGUGCCAGCAGCCGCGGUAAUACGUAGGGUGCGAGCGUUGUCCGGAAUUAUUGGGCGUAAAGGGCUCGUAGGCGGUUUGUCGCGUCGGGAGUGAAAACACAGGGCUUAACCCCGUGCCUGCUUCCGAUACGGGCAGACUAGAGGUAUGCAGGGGAGAACGGAAUUCCUGGUGUAGCGGUGAAAUGCGCAGAUAUCAGGAGGAACACCGGUGGCGAAGGCGGUUCUCUGGGCAUUACCUGACGCUGAGGAGCGAAAGUGUGGGGAGCGAACAGGAUUAGAUACCCUGGUAGUCCACACCGUAAACGUUGGGCGCUAGGUGUGGGACUCAUUCCACGAGUUCCGUGCCGCAGCUAACGCAUUAAGCGCCCCGCCUGGGGAGUACGGCCGCAAGGCUAAA
rnacentral:rRNA from 1 species